rnacentral:rRNA from 1 species
CCUACGGGAGGCAGCAGUGGGGAAUNUUGNGCAAUGGGGGAAAGCCUGUNNCAGNGACNNCGCGUGAGCGAAGAAGGCCUUCGGGUUGUAAAGAUAUGUUGUAAGGGGNGAAGAAACUUGGUAGUAAGGGACCAGGCAGUGACGGUACCUUACCAGCAAGCCCCGGCUAACUACGUGCCAGCAGCCGCGGUAAGACGUAGGGGGCGAGCGUUGUCCGGAAUUACUGGGCGUAAAGAGCACGUAGGCGGGUAUUUAAGUCAGGUGUGAAAGACCGCGGCCCAACUGCGGGGUUGCACUUGAAACUGAAUAUCUUGAGGGCAGGAGAGGUCAGUGGAAUUCCUGGUGUAGCGGUGAAAUGCGUAGAUAUCAGGAGGAACACCAGUGGCGAAGGCGACUGUCUGGACUGACCCUGACGCUGAGGUGCGAAAGCGUGGGUAGCAAACAGGAUUAGAUACCCCGGUAGUCCACGCCGUAAACGAUGGAUACUAGGUGUGGGAGGUAUCGACCCCUUCCGUGCCGGAGCUAACGCAAUAAGUAU